rnacentral:lncRNA from 1 species
UCUGGUAGAGAUUCACUAGAAAUCUCUAGAAUUCCUUUUGUUGGGAUCCAUCCUCUUACUUCUGGAAGUUCUAGACUCGAGACUUACCCCUCCUUCCGUUUGGCUGAGGCAGAGGAAUCCUUUUUUCUCCUUCAAGUGUCCUGGUCUAUGGCAUCUCCUCCCUCCCCUAGUUUCUUCACCCCGAUGGCUGACUCCCCCUCGCACCAGCCUGAUCCCACAACCUAGAUAGAGGUGACCAAAAAACGCCACCAACCCCAGCGGCGCCACUAGGGGGUGGACCUCGGUUAGCUCAAGCUCGAGGGCCGAGCCGCUUUGCAGGUCAACUGCCUCCUGCCAACAAUCGAAUUCUUCGGGAGACUCGAGCCUAACAACAACAUUGAACCUGUACACAACCUUUCUGGCCACGUCACCCGGUCUAAGUUUCAAUCUACUGUUAGCACUUGCAAAUCCACAGGUGAAGUACCAGUCAGAUCAAUCGACAACAUGGCACCUGUCCCGGCCGACCCUUAGGUCUUGCCAAGUGGCAUCGUACCCUCCUGACGUGCCAAGGAAAUCUGGGUGGAUGACGCUCCCCCUCUGCAUGCUUGGCCGCCUCACCUACCCUCAAUUGCAAGCUUCUCUGGCCACACCUCCUCUCCAUUGACUGCUUUGUCCUCGGCUCGGGCCAAAGACCUGAUCUCCCUCUUGCUCAAUGCCUCUGGGCUCUGCGGGCCAGGAACCGGCCCAUAUCCCUAUUACCCCUACUGUGGCACGCUCCUUAGCACCGACCCUUUCAUCCCCCAACACUGUGACAUUUGUCCCCCCUUCCUCAGUGACCUCGGGAGAGACCAAUUUCCUGCCCAUCUCACUGCCUCCCCCAAAUCACUUAUCCGCCUCCUCUCCUAGCGCCCCUUGAGAUCCUCACUUCAUCAUCUCCCCCUCCGCCCGCUACUCCUCUCUCCUUGUCUCCCCCUUCUGCUCUACCCCCCCCUUGUGCAACCCCCCUUGCUCUCCACCCCGUUUUUCUCUAUUUCUCCACCUCUCUCCUCUCCUCCAUCUCUCCUNNNNNNNNNNNNNNNNNNNNNNNNNNNNNNNNNNNNNNNNNNNNNUAUUUCUCCACCUCUCUCCUCUCCUCCAUCUCUCCUCGUUUGACGAGGCUCCCCUCUCUUCCCCCCCCCUUUUUCCACCAUCCUUGCCCUGUUGUGCUGUCGUCUACUCUGUUGCCGCUUAUCCUGCUGUCAUCCGCCACCUCACCCACCAACUGCACCUCUCUCACAUCCUUGGAAGCUGCUCAGCCUCCCAUCCAUCUUCUCCCUCCAGUCUCAUCUCCGCCUUGCAAUCCUCUACCAAUCCACUCGGAGGUAACCCCAGACUCGCCUGAGACAGGCCCUAUUUCUAUCACUUCUAUUUUUGGCCUUUCUGCUCCGCACAUCCCACCGGUGUUUCGAUAACCAGAGGCUUUUGCGACACCCUUGUCUGACCCUAACCCCCCGUUGGAGUGGCCAUCAUUCUCAGUAGGUAUCUUGGUGGUGGAAUCAGAUGACCCUACCCCUCCUGACCUAGAGAUUCUGGCCUCCCUAUUGGCCCCUUACCCCCCUUACACCCCGAACCUUAUCCUUAUUUGCCAAAUCAGGACUGUCUGUACUUCCAUCUUUCAACCACCCUCGGUUGGCCCUUCGGCUCCUCUUUUGGCCCCAACCUUAUGGACCUCGGUACCAACCUACUCUUACUGCCCCCCCCUUCCCCCCCGUCACCUUAUUUUCCACCACCCUACUCUCUCCUGUCUAACCAAUACCUCUUGCUCUCCUUGCCGCAGGUUGACCUCCAUCCUCCCUUGUCCAUCUCAGUGCCAACCCCUCCAACCCUUUUGAUGAGCCCCCUGCUUUUCCUUUCGUACCUACUGGUUCAGGCCUCUCUCACCCUUCUUUGGGAAUCUCAUCCCAAUCCCCUCUAUCGGCUUUCUUGAUGGACUCUGCUUUUGUGGACGACAUUGACCACGGACAGGCUGACUUCAAGGAAUUGCUUAGAGUCAUGGGCUUCCCACUAUGACGACCCAGAAGGCCCGCUCCAUCGUUUCUUCAAGGCAGAUGCUCAAAGCAUGCUUAAGGUGAGAAUUAAAGGACAAAGGGAGGUUCUCAACCUCUAUUCUAGGAUAAACUAUGACAAACAAUCUUCCUUGAGGCAGCCCAUUGCGCUUAUAGCCCAGCCUAGCACUUUAGACUCUCUCCCUAGAAGGUCCCCCAGGUUGGCACCUUCACACAACCCCCUCAUGUCCUCAUGAAGAUUCUAUCAUGGAAUGUAAGGGGAUUGGGACAAGAUCUCAGACGUAAAGCAGCACGUGACCUAUGCGCCAAGCACAACCUACCAUCCUGGCCCUCACUGAGACAAAACAACCCGACGCUUCCCUCCAACUUAUUCACCAGGUCUGGGGAUGCAGGCCGAGGCAAGGGGUCUCCCUGCCUGCAGUAGGGGCUAUUUGUGUCAUCUGGAAUUGCGCCCAACACUCUCUUGUCUUCUCCUUCUUAGGGGACUUCUCUGUAACUAUUCUCCUGUCCAGGAUCUCGGACGGGUAUCUUUGGAAGUUUACGACCAUUUAUGGCCUCGACUCAGUGGCUCAACAUUUCUUGCUUUGAGAUGAACUUGAUCAAGUGGCCACCCUCCCUCACCCCUCCUGGUGCCUAGGGGGGGGUUUCAAUAUAAUGAGAUGGUCUUUUGAAAGAAAUUCUAACUGCAACAUCUCGCAAGGGAUGUUGGAUUUCUCGGAUUUUAUAUCCCGCAUUGAGCUUCAGGAUGUCCCUCUUCUGGGAAAUAUUUUUACUUGUUCGGAUCAUGCUUCUAAUCCUACCCUUACUAAACUCGAUAGGUUUGUCUUGUCUUUGAGUUGGGAUGACGAUUUCCUUGGUUCCCACGCCUUCUUUCGACCAUUGCCUCAUUC